rnacentral:rRNA from 1 species
GAAACUGCGAAUGGCUCAUUAAAUCAGUUAUAGUUUAUUUGAUGGUGCCUUACUACAUGGAUACCCGUAGUAAUUCUAGAGCUAAUACAUGCCAAAAAAACCCAACCGCAAGGGCGGGUUGUAUUUAUUAGAUAAAAACCAUUACUCGCAAGAGUUUUUGUGGUGAUUCAUAAUAACUGUUCGAAUCGCAUGCCGCAAGGCGGCGAUAGAUCAUUCAAAUUUCUGCCCUAUCAGCUCUCGACGGUAGUGUAGUGGACUACCGUGGCAUUAACGGGUAACGGAGAAUUAGGGUUCGAUUCCGGAGAGGGAGCCUGAGAAACGGCUACCACAUCCAAGGAAGGCAGCAGGCGCGCAAAUUACCCAAUCCUGAUACAGGGAGGUAGUGACAAAAAAUAACAAUACCGGGCAUUUUAUGUCUGGUAAUUGGAAUGAGUACAAUUUAAAUCCCUUAACGAGGAUCAAUUGGAGGGCAAGUCUGGUGCCAGCAGCCGCGGAAAUUCAGCUCCAAUAGCGUAUAUUAAAGGUGUUGCAGUUAAAAAGCUCGUAGUUGGAUUUCUGGGAGGGGGCGCCUGGGCCCAGGGUUGCAAAACCGCGGAGUGGCCGGGGUGCGCCUGCCAUUUUUCAAGUAAUGGAGCCCCUACAAUGGGGGGCAGGGAUCCCCACCUUUUCCUUUGACAAACCCCCAGGGCCUUAGCAGGCCUGCGUUUUAAAACUUUCC